rnacentral:rRNA from 1 species
AGAUUGAACGCUGGCGGCAGGCCUAACACAUGCAAGUCGAGCGGUAGAGAGGUGCUUGCACCUCUUGAGAGCGGCGGACGGGUGAGUAAUGCCUAGGAAUCUGCCUAGUGGUGGGGGAUAACGUUCGGAAACGGACGCUAAUACCGCAUACGUCCUACGGGAGAAAGCGGGGGACCUUCGGGCCUCGCGCCAUUAGAUGAGCCUAGGUCGGAUUAGCUAGUUGGUGAGGUAAUGGCUCACCAAGGCGACGAUCCGUAACUGGUCUGAGAGGAUGAUCAGUCACACUGGAACUGAGACACGGUCCAGACUCCCGUACGGGAGCAGCAGGUGGGGAAUUAGUUGGACAAGUUGGGGACGAAAGCCUAGGA